rnacentral:rRNA from 1 species
UUUAUGAAGGGUAUGAUCUUGGCUCAGAACGAACGCUGGCGGCGUGGAUUAGGCAUGCAAGUCGAACGAGGGGGUGCCCCGAAAGGGGUACGAACCGAGUGGCGUAAGGGUGAGUAAUGCAUUGAUAACCUACCUUUAAGAUGAGGAUAACAACGCUUCGAGCAAUCGAAGCUACCGAAAGGGUUGCUAAUACUCAAUAAUACUAUUGAUACUUCAGUAUUUAUAGUCAAGAGAUAGGAUUCGUAAGGAUCCUUUCGCUUAAAGAGGGGUCAAUGUCCUAUCAGCUUGUUGGUAGGGUAAAGGCCUACCAAGGCUAAGACGGGUAGCCGGCCUGAGAGGGUGGUCGGCCACACUGGGACUGAGACACUGCCCAGACUCCUACGGGAGGCUGCAGUCGAG